rnacentral:rRNA from 12 species
CGGGAGAAAAGAGGACUUUACAAGAGAAAUCCUGUAAAGUUGGCACAAACCAGGGGGUAGCGACUGUUUACCAAAAACACAAGUCUCUGCUAAUUUGUAAAAAGAUGUAUAGGGACUGACACCUGCCCGGUGCUGCAAGAUGAAAAAAGAUUGUUUGGGCAAUCUUUGUAAGUCCCAGUAAACGGCGGCUGUAACUCUGACGGUCCAAAGGUAGCGAAAUUCUUUGUCGGGUAAGUUCCGACCUGCAUGAAUGGUGUAACGACUUCCCCGCUGUCUCCACUAUCAUCCCAGUGAAAUUGAAAUCUUCGUGAAGAUGCGAAGUUCUUCCAGCAAGACGCGAAGACCCUGUGCACCUUGACUAUAUCCAAAAAUAGUUUUCAAUCUAAAAUUGUGUAGAAUAGGUGGGAAUUUUCCACUUUCUUUGAAUUGUGGAAGUAACAGUGAAAUACCACCCUUUUUGAGGUUGAAAACUUACUUUUCGAAGGACAAUUUUUGGUGGGUAGUUUGACUGGGGCGGUCGCCUCCUAAAAAGUAACGGAGGUGUGCAAAGGUAAACUCAUCCUGUAACCCACAGGACGAGAGUAGAAUGGUAAAAGUUUGCUUAACUGUAAGACACACAGGUCGAACAGAAACGAAAGUUGGUCAUACUGAUCCGGUAAUUCUGAGAGGAAAGAUUAUCGCUCAACGGAUAAAAGGUACGCCAGGGAUAACAGGCUAAUGUCUCUUUAGAGCUCUUAUCGACGGAGACGUUUGGCACCUCGAUGUCGACUCAUCGCAUCCUGGAGCUGGAGAAGGUUCCAAGGGUUCGGCUGUUCGCCGAUUAAAGCGGUACGCGAGUUGGGUUCAGAACCAUGUAAAUGAGUUCGGUUACUAUCUACUGGAAGAAAAAGAAAAACCAAAGAAGUAGACCCUAGUACGAGAGGACCGGGAAAAGUUUACCUCUGGUUUACCGAUUGUUUUAUUUAAGCAUCGUCGGCAAGCUACGUAAAUGGA